rnacentral:rRNA from 1 species
GACGAACGCUGGCGGCGUGCCUAAUACAUGCAAGUAGAACACUGAGGACUGGUGCUUGCACUGGUCUAAGGAGUUGCGAACGGGUGAGUAACGCGUAGGUAACCUACCCCAUAGCGGGGGAUAACUAUUGGAAACGAUAGCUAAUACCGCAUGACAAUAGGGUACACAUGUACCCUAUUUAAAAGGGGCAAAUGCUUCACUAUGAGAUGGACCUGCGUUGUAUUAGCUAGUUGGUAAGGUAACGGCUUACCAGGGCGACGAUACAUAGCCGACCUGAGAGGGUGACCGGCCACACUGGGACUGAGACGCGGCCCAG